UACGGAGGGGGCUAGCGUUGCUCGGAAUUACUGGGCGUAAAGGGCGCGUAGGCGGAUGUUUAAGUCGGGGGUGAAAGCCCGGGGCUCAACCCCGGAAUUGCCUUCGAUACUGGACAUCUUGAGUACGGGAGAGGUGAGUGGAACUCCGAGUGUAGAGGUGAAAUUCGUAGAUAUUCGGAAGAACACCAGUGGCGAAGGCGACUCACUGGCCCGUUACUGACGCUGAGGCGCGAAAGCGUGGGGAGCAAACAGG
rnacentral:rRNA from 1 species